UAGGGUUUUUCAGUCAUCCCUCUGUAUCUGUCUCUCGCCGGAAUACGCAGAUGGCCGCUAGAUUUUUCCAGCCAUCCCUGUCGGCGUCGAUCUCUGACGCAUCAACCACUAUAGAGGUUGUUCCGCCAAUAUACGAGGAGUUUCCCCAUCCCUCCUCCUUUCCUAUUACGUAUCCAGCUCCACUGUAGAAACGAGGUAUGGGAUUAGAUUCAUCAAGCAGGUUAUUAUGUUGAUGUUGAUACAACAGACAAGAGGAUCCAAAAGAAGAUAAAUCAGACACCGACUGGCAGUAACUGGAAAAAAGUUUUACAGAUGCUGGAAUUUGAAUUCGAAUGCUGGGAAUUGUGAUCAGAUUGCUAUAUUUUUUUACAAUUCUGGAAAACUAUUUUCUUAUAAAGGUAUUUAUAUUGGAAAUAGUCUAAGACUCCUAACAAAUUAAAUACAAUAGAAAAAAUAGCAAUUGAAGUAAAUAGAUGUUCAAUAUCACUUUUAUGAGGAAUCAUCACAAACAACCAGUUGCAUGUGAAGUUCACAUGCAAGCUUGCUCAUACGCCAAAGUGUCAUGUGUAGGACAUCUGAGCGAUGCAUAAGGUGGGAUUCACUAUGACAAUCACCUGCUGCAAAAAAUUGGUUAGCCUGCUCAUCAGGAAGCCACCCUAUAUGAAAACAAUGAGUGUUUUUAAUUGGAACUGUUAACUGUCUGAUUCAACGUGCAUGUCUGUCUUUCCUGAUCAGUGGAUUUUUCUGAUUUCUAUGCCAAGUGGCCUUCAUCUUAUGCAUAACCUGAUGUGUCAUACACAUGACGUGAACGGGGUUUCAUCUGAAGUUCACAUGCAACUGGUUGUAGGUGAUCAUUCUUACUAGUAUUGAAUUGAAUUGAUUGUAAUGAUGGUUGUCUUUGAAUAAUCCUGGAAAGUUCGGUGCAAGAACUCGCUCAGAUGUUUGUCUAAGAGCUGGCU